CAAGUGUACCUUCGUGACUGGAGGAAACACUUGUAUUUAAACACGUAGCCUAUAGCAAUAAACGCCAUUUGCCUCACUUACUCCUGGGGUCUGAGUGAGCAUCUGGCCCCGACCUGGUAAAGGGUCGGUUUCGCCCAGCAGUAAGCCCUACAUGUGGACAGAGGACGAACACCGGACGAGCGAACGGAGACUACAUGCAACAAUAAUACACCAUCUACAGAAUGAAUCCAUGUCCUCAGUACCUUAACUGACUGUCCUUUGAAGUCUGAGACUUCUCCACAGGAAGAAGCAACUCUGCUCCGGAAUUCAGUCAAAUCUCGUCUAGAUAACAAGUCUUCCAGUUCACCUCAUCCCCUGUCUUCUGGCAAACAUGACAAAAAUGCUGAGAUCCAAGAGCACAGAAAAAUAUUAGCAGAACUGGAGGGAUGUCAAAGGGAAAAAGAAUUCUCACAUGUUUAGUCUAGGAAUGAUACUUUUUUAUAUUAGAAAUGAACUCAGAAAAUAUAGGAAAGAAAAUAGAAAAACAAAGGACUGUACACACAUUGUAAAAGAAAAGUUUUACAAAUAGAACUGAGUUAGAAUAUUACUUUUUUCACUUAUAUAAUCUUCCAUUAACACAAGUGUAACAGAAAUUUAACCCCAGUGUAGUGUUCAAAUUCCUGACACAACUGGGAUACCUUUAUGAGUGAAAAACAAUUUUAAGUUUUAUUUCUCUUAGAGUAUUUCUCACUCAUACCUGUUAUAAAGCCUCUACCUUUUCAGUAGAUUUCUGUGGGCUUGACCAUUGUCAGAUUUUUUGUUUACUUUUGUUUUUUACAUUUAGUUUACUAGAUUAUCAGUGUAGAUAUUUUCUUGGGUAAUUUUAAGUUCUAUUAUUUACUUAUUUACACUUUUAUACAGUAAUUCAGUGCACAGUUGGAAAAUAAAUAACCAAAAUUAAUAACCUCCCAGAAGGGCAAUAUACUUUAAAUAUAUCUGAAAAUCUACUAUUACACAUUUUAAAAUUAUUUUUUCUGCAAGUACUCAGAGAACUGGAAUAAACAACACCAGAAGAAAAUAAUGACAGAGUAAAUCAACGAAGGUCCAAGUUUUAUGAUCCAUGUGCUAUCUAAAGUGCAUCAGUUUGAAACUUCUGUGCAAGAUUCCUUCAGAAGAGCCUAGCGUGCUGUUUUUAAUCUUGAAUUGAAAGAAUGCAUCAGAACAGAAUAAAGAAAAUUGUUGGGUACUCCUCUAGAAGUACAAGGUUUGAAGAGUUGUAUGAAUAUCCACUUAAAUUAGUCUCUGAAAUGUAAUGUAAGGGACUUCUUACCAAGAAAACGUAAGUUAUAUCUCCAUUUAUUCUGUAGAAUAUUUUAUAGCUUUGUAUCUUCUCUAAAUAGAGUAUAGAAAGAUUGUUUACCUGAAAAAUGUUAUGCAAUAUUUCAAAGCACAAAGUCUAACAGUAUUAAUUAUAAAUGUCAUCUUAAAUUAAUAAUAGGGCUAACAAUAAUGGUAAGCAGACCAAGUAUAUAAUACGCUUUCAUAUUUCAAUAGAGUAUAAUGUGUCAGCACACAGGUUAUAACCUUUCUUAGUGAAAUUGAAAAAGGUUAUAUGUUAUGAAACUAAUGUAAUUGUACCAUAAUUUUAGUAUAACUACAGUACCUCUGUUUAG
ensembl:lncRNA